rnacentral:tRNA from 1 species
GCCUUCGUGGUGUAGUGGUCAGCACGCUCGACGUGUAUUCGAGAGGUCCGUGGUUCGAGUCCCUGCGAGGGGA